rnacentral:rRNA from 2 species
AGACCCGAAACCCGGUGAUCUAGCCAUGGGCAGGUUGAAGGUUGGGUAACACUAACUGGAGGACCGAACCGACUAAUGUUGAAAAAUUAGCGGAUGACCUGUGGCUGGGGGUGAAAGGCCAAUCAAACCGGGAGAUAGCUGGUUCUCCCCGAAAGCUAUUUAGGUAGCGCCUCGUGAAUUCAUCUCCGGGGGUAGAGCACUGUUUCGGCUAGGGGGCCAUCCCGGCUUACCAACCCGAUGCAAACUGCGAAUACCGGAGAAUGUUAUCACGGGAGACACACGGCGGGUGCUAACGUCCGUCGUGAAGAGGGAAACAACCCAGACCGCCAGCUAAGGUCCCAAAGUCAUGGUUAAGUGGGAAACGAUGUGGGAAGGCCCAGACAGCCAGGAUGUUGGCUUAGAAGCAGCCAUCAUUUAAAGAAAGCGUAAUAGCUCACUGGUCGAGUCGGCCUGCGCGGAAGAUGUAACGGGGCUAAACCAUGCACCGAAGCUGCGGCAGCGACGUUUAUGCGUUGUUGGGUAGGGGAGCGUUCUGUAAGCCUGCGAAGGUGGCCUGUGAGGGUUGCUGGAGGUAUCAGAAGUGCGAAUGCUGACAUAAGUAACGAUAAAGCGGGUGAAAAGCCCGCUCGCCGGAAGACCAAGGGUUCCUGUCCAACGUUAAUCGGGGCAGGGUGAGUCGACCCCUAAGGCGAGGCCGAAAGGCGUAGUCGAUGGGAAACGGGUUAAUAUUCCCGUACUUGGUGUUACUGCGAAGGGGGGACGGAGAAGGCUAUGUUGGCCGGGCGACGGUUGUCCCGGUUUAAGCGUGUAGGCUGGUUUUCCAGGCAAAUCCGGAAAAUCAAGGCUGAGGCGUGACGACGAGGCACUACGGUGCUGAAGCAACAAAUGCCCUGCUUCCAGGAAAAGCCUCUAAGCAUCAGGUAACAUCAAAUCGUACCCCAAACCGACACAGGUGGUCAGGUAGAGAAUACCAAGGCGCUUGAGAGAACUCGGGUGAAGGAACUAGGCAAAAUGGUGCCGUAACUUCGGGAGAAGGCACGCUGACACGUAGGUGAAGUGAUUUACUCAUGGAGCUGAAGUCAGUCGAAGAUACCAGCUGGCUGCAACUGUUUAUUAAAAACACAGCACUGUGCAAACACGAAAGUGGACGUAUACGGUGUGACGCCUGCCCGGUGCCGGAAGGUUAAUUGAUGGGGUCAGCGCAAGCGAAGCUCCUGAUCGAAGCCCCGGUAAACGGCGGCCGUAACUAUAACGGUCCUAAGGUAGCGAAAUUCCUUGUCGGGUAAGUUCCGACCUGCACGAAUGGCGUAAUGAUGGCCAGGCUGUCUCCACCCGAGACUCAGUGAAAUUGAACUCGCUGUGAAGAUGCAGUGUACCCGCGGCAAGACGGAAAGACCCCGUGAACCUUUACUAUAGCUUGACACUGAACAUUGAGCCUUGAUGUGUAG